GUCCACGCCGUAAACGAUGGAUGCUAGCCGUCGGCAAGCUUGCUUGUCGGUGGCGCAGCUAACGCAUUAAGCAUCCCGCCUGGGGAGUACGGCCGCAAGGUUAAAACUCAAAGGAAUUGACGGGGGCCCGCACAAGCGGUGGAGCAUGUGGUUUAAUUCGACGCAACGCGAAGAACCUUACCAGCUCUUGACAUGUCCGGACGGUUUCCAGAGAUGGAUUCCUCUCAGCAAUGGGCCGGAACACAGGUGCUGCAUGGCUGUCGU
rnacentral:rRNA from 1 species